UUUAAAAAUGUACCACUUCACAUUUUUGAUUAACUUUUAAUAUAAAGGUAAUGGCUAUCUAAUAUAUUAGCAAGCUAACAGGAGCCUUGUCAUUUUAAGUGAGCUACACCUGGAAGUUGUUGGGCUUCAAUAUUUAGUGAAAGUCAGACAAAACAUUCACAGCAGCAACCUGAGUCUUCCCAGUGUUUCUACUUUAAUCCCAUCGAGGAGGACUGCUGCCCUAUGCUUUGAGAAACUGGAGGCUGAUCCAGGAUCAGAGUGACAGGAGGAAGAUCAUUUACUGAGCGCCGGAGCCGGCUGAUGGGAGACAGAGGAGAGGCUCGGGGGCCUGAGCUGCUCUGUAUCCGCACUGAUGCCAAGUGGUCGGCGGUUUGAAGAGGACACCUGAGACCAGCGCACCUGGACAAUGAGCUGAGGUGUAACCCUAAACUGAGAUGAACCGCUGUUUAUCCCCCACGCUCUCCUUCUCUCGCUCUUUCCCAUCAGUCUCCUGUCUGGUCCCCAAGCUUUAUUUUCUCUCUACGACCUGAUCUAUAUUGCUCUUCUAUUGUUAACUAAGUACAUUUAUUUAAGUACUGUACUUUAAUACAAGUUUGAGGUACUUGUACUGGAGUAUUUCCAUUUAAUGCCACAUAUUGGAGGGAAAUAUUCAUUUACUCCUAUUGCCUUACAAUUCAAAAUUAUCAAUACAGAUAUAAAUCAACUAAUACGUCAUGAUUUAUUAUUGUAGGUAAAACUAUCUUGCAGUUUAGAAAGUAAAAUGACCCAGUUACAUGUCAAUUAACUCUCUAUGUGACUGUUGCUACUACUGUGCUGCAACUCUGUUGUUGGCCCUGCUGCUGCACGGACACCAGCCACAGUUUACUUGUAGCAUCUAUUUAUCAUAAUGGUGGUGAGACUGGUGGGCAGGUAAAGUAAUCGAUGUUCACCUGACCACCGUGUAACACCAGGAACACCGAUUACAGCUGUGAAGUUAACUUUGAUUUCCGGGAGUCGCUUGUUAGAGGUAACGUUAGCCGGCCUGUCCUGGCUAGCUUGACUUUUAGCUCAUCAUUCUUAUUACCAUCAGAAGCUCUCAGUGUCAAAACGUAGACUAGUAAUGUUACCCAACUCUUUGAAUCCCUCGACCUAUACCGAACUGAUUAGAAGCCUGUACUUCCGCCCCUUGUCUAUCGGAAAUGUGAUCACUGACUGCGAGCCUUCCUCAGACAGGCUAACAAUGUUUCAUUGAGGUACAUCAUCACAUAUUUUCUUUACAUUUUGCCUUAUUGCUUCUCUGGAGGAAUGUUCCCACACUGAGCUUCUUUUAGCGUGCUCACUUUUGUAGCUGAGGAGACACCGUUAACAGUGUCUGUAUGCAAUUUAAGCUAUAGACCAACAUGCGUAACCAGUCAAAAAUAUUCCUGGCGAUUAACUGAUACAUGGUUUAACAGUUGGUUGACAUCCCGAGUUGUAGUGUUACAUAUUCUGCUGUAUCUUUCAGUAAAACAUCUGACUACUUCUUCCACCACUGUACUCUCCGCUCUCUCAGUAUCUCUCCAUGCUUCUCCAGGCCUAAUUCAAACAUCUCUCAGUAUGGGUGUGACGUCACCGUCUAAUCACAUACUUAACGAUUAGUGCCCACACAUUUUCAGCAAGAUCAUCAUUCAAGGGGAAAACAACAGGGCCCCAGACAUUCCUGCAUUUCUUCAGUUGCUAUUUUCACACAGACAAUGCUCUAAAUUUGGGGACUGACAUUUUGUUCUGCAGCUGACAGCGGCUAGCAGCUGUAUGACUCAGUGACACAGAAGCAGUGCCCAUGUCACCAUGGAAAAGGCAGCGUUGUGGUGUUGUUGCCAAGGCUCUGCUGUCCAAUACGCAUCUGAUCCGCCAUCGUUACGGCUGGAGCCGCGCGGGAAGGAGGGAGAGAUGGGAAACGGCCAAGCAUGUUUCCGAACAAGGCGGAAAAGUGAGCGACUCAAGAAGUCAGGGAUUCGAGAUUAGGAGACAUUUCGGCAGAUCAGGAGCGAGUGUGUUCGAGCAACGCUUACUUCUGCUCUGUCUCCCUCGUAAAAAGGCCUUUACUCAGCAUCCUGCACACUCCACCCAUAUUUAUACACUCCCUCCCCCAUCACUCAUGUCACUUGAGAUAAACACAUACAGUCUGACCUGCACGUCUACGCACACUCAGAUGCACUUAGAUGGUCGCUGUGUGUUAUUUCUUUGAUGCACCAACAACUGCAACUGCGUCUUUAAACAGCAAGUAGCACAAAGGACCAAAAAUAGCACAGUGAGUUGCAGAGCAGAACUGCUCUCCUUGAGGAGGGGAGGAGAGAGGAGGAGGAUGGAGAGCAGGAGGAGGUGCAGAGAGAGAUGACAGGGAAAAGAUGGGAGAAGGAGACCGGCUCUCCAGGACUCAGGCCUCCCCGCUGGGUCCAAUUUAAGUUUCUCUCCCCGUGUCAGCUCGAAUCGGUAUUCAAUGACAACACUUGUAAUCACAUUUCUGUAACGUCAUGAACUGAUUAGGAGCAGACUGAAUGUUUGUAGCCGUCCACUUAUUUGUUGCAGUGGAUAUCACACAAGCUAAUAGAGGGAGUAGUAGACGAGGCCAUACACAGAUGUAAAUCGCAAACAUGUCAAUAUCAGAAAAGGGGGCAAUUCACUAUUAGAGCAACAUUUCACAAAUAUGUUUUGCACUUUUUUGUCACUAGCAUUAACGUCUUACUCUUAUUUAAGUCGGCUGUUCUGUUCUUCCGUACUUUAAAAAUAACUAAUAUGUCAAAUAUUUUCCCAUAUUAAAGGAUUAAAUUAUACAUGUUGAGUUAUAUGGGAAGAUUGUUGCUGCUAUUGUGUAUGCACAACAAUAAAUUAAGCUUCAGCCGCAAUGAAUAUUCUAUCAAUCAAUUAGUCAAUUGAAG